rnacentral:rRNA from 1 species
GAUGAACGCUGGCUACAGGCUUAACACAUGCAAGUCGAGGGGAAACGGCAUUGAGUGCUUGCACUGAAUGGACGUCGACCGGCGCACGGGUGAGUAACGCGUAUCCAACCUUCCCGUUACUGCGGGAUAACCUGCCGAAAGGCAGACUAAUACCGCAUGUUCUUCGAUGACGGCAUCAGAUUCGAAGCAAAGAUCCGUCGGUAACGGAGGGGGAUGCGUCUGAUUAGCUUGUUGGCGGGGCGACGGCCCACCAAGGCGACGAUCAGUAGGGGUUCUGAGAGGAAGGUCCCCCACAUUGGAACUGAGACACGGUCCAAACUCCUACGGGAGGCAGCAGUGAGGAAUAUUGGUCAAUGGGCGGAAGCCUGAACCAGCCAAGUAGCGUGCAGGAGGACGGCCCUACGGGUUGUAAACUGCUUUUAUGCGGGGAUAAAGUGAGGGACGUGUCCCUUUUGCAGGUACC